rnacentral:rRNA from 1 species
UAUCUCUGUAGAGUCUGCAUAUCAAUAAGCGGAGGAAAAGAAACUAACAUAGGAUUCCCUCAGUAACGGCGAGUGAAGCGGGAAGAGCUCAAAUUUGAAAUCUUCAAGGGUUCUACCUUUACGAAUUGUAGUUUAAAGAAGUGUCUUCUGUUGAGGUUUUGGUAAAAGUUCUUUGGAAUAGGACAUCAUAGAGGGUGAGAAUCCCGUAUUUGACCAUUACUUUCCAGCUUUGUGAUACACUUUCAAAGAGUCGGAUUGUUUGGGAAUGCAGUCCAAAAUGGGUGGUAAAUUUCAUCUAAAGCUAAAUAUUGGCGAGAGACCGAUAGCGAACAAGUACCGUGAGGGAAAGAUGAAAAGAACUUUGAAAAGAGAGUUAAACAGUACGUGAAAUUGUCAAAAGGGAAGCGUUUGACACCAGUGUUGUUUUUCUGAAAAUCAAUUAAAGAACUGUUUAUGCUAAGCUGUUUAGACUUUAUCAGCUAAUCUGUUUAGUUUUGAGCUUUUCUUUAAUGCACUUUUCAGUUAACAAGUCAACAUCAAUUUCUUUUGCUGUAAAAAAGCUUGAGGAAGGUGGCUUGAGAUUCGUCUUAAGUGUUUAUAGCCUCUUGCCUAUGCAGUCGGAGAGAUUGAGGUCUGCAGCGUAGAUCCUUCGGGGCUAAAUGCAUUUGUGCUAAGUUAUAGCAUUUUAUAGACAACUUGUUGACUAUGAUUUGUCUUGUAGCUUACUCGCUUAUGUUAUUUUACCUACGCUUAGGAUGUUGACGAUCAGCUGAGCGCG